rnacentral:rRNA from 1 species
GACGAACGCUGGCGGCGUGCCUAAUGCAUGCAAGUCGCACGGGGUCUUCGGACCCAGUGGCGCACGGCUGAGGAGCACGUGGCUGACCUACCCCGGCGUGGGGGAUAACGGGCCGAAAGGCUCGCUAAUCCCGCAUACGAUCACUCUCACGAGUGAGGAAAGCUUCGGCGCGCUGGGCGGGGGCCGCGUCCCAUUAGGUUGUUGGUGUGGUAAUGGCGCACCAAGCCGAUGAUGGGUUCCGGGUCUGAGAGGACGACCCGGCAGACUGGGACUGAGACACGGCCCAGACUCCUACGGGGGGCAGCAGCAAGGAAUUUUCGGCAAUGGGCGCAAGCCUGACCGAGCAACGCCGCGUGGAGGAUGACGGCUUUCGGGUUGUAAACUCCUUUUGGGUGGGACGAUAAUGACGGUACCACCCGAAUCAGACCCGGCUAACUACGUGCCAGCAGCCGCAGUAAAAC